rnacentral:rRNA from 1 species
UACGUAGGUGGCAAGCGUUGUCCGGAUUUACUGGGUGUAAAGGGCGUGUAGGCGGGAUGGCAGGUCAGAUGUGAAAUGUAUGGGCUCAACCCAUAAACUGCAUUUGAAACCGUCAUUCUUGAGUGUCGGAGAGGGAAGCGGAAUUCCUAGUGUAGCGGUGAAAUGCGUAGAUAUUAGGAGGAACACCGGUGGCGAAGGCGGCUUUCUGGACGAUAACUGACGCUGAGGCGCGAAAGCGCGGGGAGCAAAC